UGGUGGAGUGAUUUGUCUGGUUUAUUCCGUUAACGAACGAGACCUCAGCCUGCUAAAUAGUGGCAUCUAACUUCGGUUAGGUGUUCUACUUCUUAGAGGGACUUUCGGCGUUAGCCGAAGGAAGUUUGAGGCAAUAACA
rnacentral:rRNA from 1 species